rnacentral:siRNA from 1 species
AUCGCUGCGGGCUUCCACCAGA